rnacentral:rRNA from 1 species
AUUAUCAGCUUUUGCUCAACUUACACAUGCAAGUAUCCGCGCCCCCGUGAAUAAGCCCUUAACCCCCUGCCCGGGGACAAGGAGCGGGCAUCAGGCACAUAACAUUAGCCCAAGACGCCUAGCCGAGCCACACCCCCAAGGGAAUUCAGCAGUGAUAAACAUUAAGCCAUAAGUGAAAACUUGACUCAGUUAGAGCAAACAGGGCCGGUAAAACUCGUGCCAGCCACCGCGGUUAGACGAGCGACCCCAGUUGAUAAUAUUACGGCGUAAAGGGUGGUUAAGGAGCACAACAGAAUAAAGCCGAACAGCCCCCCGGCCGUCAUACGCUUCCGGGUGCUAGAAGUCCAACUUUACGAAAGUAGCUUUAACAAAAUUUGCCUGACCCCACGAAAGCUGAGAAACAAACUGGGAUUAGAUACCCCACUAUGCUCAGCCGUAAACCCAGACAUUUACGUACAAUUACAUGUCCGCCAGGGUACUACAAGCAUUAGCUUAAAACCCAAAGGACCUGACGGUGCCUCAGACCCCCCUAGAGGAGCCUGUUCUAGAACCGAUAACCCCCGUUAAACCUCACCACUUCUAGUCAUCCCAGCCUAUAUACCGCCGUCGCAAG